rnacentral:rRNA from 1 species
AGAGUCUGGCGGCAGGCUUAACACAUGCAAGUCGAACGGUAACAGGGAUUAGCUUGCUAAUCUGCUGACGAGUGGCGGACGGGUGAGUAAUGCUUGGGAAUCUGGCUUAUGGAGGGGGAUAACUACUGGAAACGGUAGCUAAUACCGCGUAAUCUCUUUGGAGUAAAGGGUGGGAUCUUCGGACCACCUGCCAUAAGAUGAGCCCAAGUGGGAUUAGCUAGUUGGUGAGGUAAAGGCUCACCAAGGCGACGAUCUCUAGCUGGUCUGAGAGGAUGACCAGCCACACUGGAACUGAGACACGGUCCAGACUCCUACGGGAGGCAGCAGUGGGGAAUAUUGCACAAUGGGGGGAACCCUGAUGCAGCCAUGCCGCGUGAAUGAAGGAGGCCUUCGGGUUGUAAAGUUCUUUCGGUAGCGAGGAAGGCAGACUUGUUAAUAGCAAGUUUGAUUGACGUUAACUACAGAAGAAGCACCGGCUAACUCCGUGCCAGCAGCCGCGGUAAUACGGGGGGUGCAAGCGUUAAUCGGAAUAACUGGGCGUAAAGGGCACGCAGGCGGUUGUUUAAGUGGGAUGUGAAAGCCCCGGGCUUAACCUGGGAAUUGCAUUUCAGACUGGACAACUAGAGUACUUUAGGGAGGGGUAGAAUUCCACGUGUAGCGGUGAAAUGCGUAGAGAUGUGGAGGAAUACCGAAGGCGAAGGCAGCCCCUUGGGAAUGUACUGACGCUCAUGUGCGAAGCGUGGGGAGCAAACAGGAUUAGAUACCCUGGUAGUCCA